rnacentral:rRNA from 1 species
AAAGAAAGUAAGCAAGGGCGCAUGGCGGAUGCCUUGGCUCUCGGAGGCGAUGAAGGACGUGAUAAGCUGCGAUAAGCUCUGGGUAGGUGCAAAUAACCUUUGAUCCAGAGAUUUCCGAAUGGGACAACCCGGCAUUCUGAAGGAAUGUCAUCCAUCUUUGAUGGAAGCUAACGCAGGGAACUGAAACAUCUUAGUACCUGUAGGAAAAGAAAAUAAUAAUGAUUCCCCUAGUAGUGGCGAGCGAACGGGGAAUAGCCCAAACCACCCAUGUUACGGCAUGUGUGGGGUUGUAGGACCACGAUGUCGCAAGACAUUUGACGAGUAGAAUCCUCUGGAAAGUUGAACCAUAGACGGUGAUAGUCCGGUAUACGAAGUCAAAUUAAGCGUAGUGGUAUCCUGAGUAGCGCGGGACACGAGAAAUCUUGCGUGAAUCUGCCGGGACCAUCCGGUAAGGCUAAAUACUCCCGAGAGACCGAUAGCGAACCAGUACUGUGAAGGAAAGGUGAAAAGCACUUCGAAUAGAAGAGUGAAAUAGUCCCUGAAACCGUGCGCCUACAAGCGGUCGGAGCUGCUUAAGCAGUGACGGCGUGCCUUUUGCAUAAUGAACCUACGAGUUACUUUUUCCGGCAAGGUUAAGCAUCUUGAGAUGCGCAGCCGAAGCGAAAGCGAGUCUGAACAGGGCGUCGAGUCGGAAGGAGUAGACGCGAAACCAAGUGAUCUACCCUUGGUCAGGUUGAAGGUUAGGUAACACUAACUGGAGGACCGAACCGAUAAGCGUUGAAAAGCUUCCGGAUGAACUGAGGGUGGGGGUGAAAGGCUAAUCAAACUUGGAGAUAGCUCGUACUCCCCGAAAUGCAUUUAGGUGCAGCCUUGUGAGUUACUAAUGUGAGGUAGAGCGACUGAUAAGAUGCGAGGGCUUCACCGCCUAUCAAGUCUUGAUAAACUCCGAAUGCGCAUUAGUUCUAUCACAGGAGUGAGGGCAUGGGUGCUAAGGUCCAUGUCCUAAAGGAGAAGAAUCCAGACCAUCAGCUAAGGUCCCCAAAUAAACACUAAGUUGAACUAACGAAGUCAGAUUGCUAAGACAGCUAGGAUGUUGGCUUGGAAGCAGCCAUUCAUUUAAAGAGUGCGUAACAGCUCACUAGUCGAGGAGUUUGGCGUGGAUAAUAAUCGGGCAUUAAGUGUUUUACCGAAGCUAUGGGAUCAGUAAUGAUCGGUAGGGGAGCAUUCCACUCUGCGUCGAAGGUGAAGCGUGAGCUUUGCUGGAGCGUGUGGAAAAGCAAAUGUAGGUAUAAGUAACGAUAAAGGGGGUGAGAAACCCCCUCGCCGAAAGACUAAGGUUUCCUGAUCAACGCUAAUCGGAUCAGGGUUAGUCGGGUCCUAAGGCUCAGCCGAACGGUGAGGCCGAUGGCAGAACAGGUUAAUAUUCCUGUACUACCUUAAGGAGUGACGUGGAGACGGAGCAGUGA